AUUGAACGCUGGCGGCAUGCCUUACACAUGCAAGUCGAACGGCAGCACGGGAGCAAUCCUGGUGGCGAGUGGCGAACGGGUGAGUAAUAUAUCGGAACGUGCCCAGUCGUGGGGGAUAACGUAGCGAAAGCUACGCUAAUACCGCAUACGAUCUACGGAUGAAAGCGGGGGAUCGCAAGACCUCGCGCGAUUGGAGCGGCCGAUAUCAGAUUAGGUAGUUGGUGAGGUAAAGGCUCACCAAGCCGACGAUCUGUAGCUGGUCUGAGAGGACGACCAGCCACACUGGGACUGAGACACGGCCCAGACUCCUACGGGAGGCAGCAGUGGGGAAUUUUGGGACAAUGGGCGCAAGCCUGAUCCAGCAAUGCCGCGUGCAGGAUGAAGGCCUCGGUU
rnacentral:rRNA from 1 species